CCCUAAGCCUUCAACUAGCAAACGUUGAGCCCCAACGGUAUGAAAAGCCCUUUUUGGCUAGCUUUUGGCAUGCCUCUAUUCGUCUAGAGGUUUGUUCUCCUAUUUCAGAAAGGAAUUAAAUUCACCCUUGUCUUCUUCUCUUUUGCAAUUUUUUUUUAUUUCUCCUUUCUUUGGUGAAAAUUCGGAUUUCAAACACGUUUCAACAAAUAUUCAGUUUUGAAGUCCGUCCCAUAUCGAAUUUUAACCUAAAAUUUGAACAUUUUGGGGUUCUAUAUAGAGAAUCCCAUUCUCUUUAUUUUCAGAUGGAGGUUUUUUUGACAACCACAAAAAAUAGGUUUUCACACCCCAAGUUCUGAACUUUUCAAUUUUUUAGCUUUAAACAAGAAAUUUUCUCUUGUAAGCUGAGUUUUUGAAUCAUCGGAACAAGUUAAAAAAAAAUUGAGUUCUAGUCAGUUCGUCAUUAGUAAAAGGUCGAAGGUGAUCGAUUCAACCCCCGCGCUGCUCGACAAAAAGGUUGCAGUUUGUCAUUACACUUUGGAGUUGGUUGGUGCACUGUUUUGAGACCCUUGAUGCUGCCAUGUUUUUUGGAGAAACAGAUAAGGCAAAAUGAUGGUUUUUGAAUAAAUUUAUUGCUGCAAAUUUUCAGCAAAGCUGAUGCUGUACUAGGCUAUUUUUGACACUUAUUUGGGAUGAGAUUGUCACUGGCAUUUUUGCUUCCCUGUUGCUACUUAUUGUUGUUGAGCUGCUAUAACUUUGUUUAAGUUGUUAUUGUCUCCUGAGAUCUUCUGCCUUUGUGGUUGGCUGCUAUAGUUUGACACUUCAUUUGGGGAAUGAUUAGUUGCUGAACUUUGACACCCUCGAUGUUGUCUCUAUACUUGGUAACUGGCAGCUACAUCUUCCAAAACAAGAACUGACGCUACCUUGAGAAAAUCUUGAACCAACUGGCUAUUGAAAUAUGUUGCUAAGCAACUGAUGAGGAUAAGGUACUAUUGGGCAGCAUGUACGAGUUAUAAUACGACUAAACGCUAAAGGUACAGAAGCUCGUUUCGGAGAUCCGCCAGCCUAGGAUAUCUAUUCAGCUGUUUUGAAGUGCUCCUUUGUUUCGGAACCUAGCUUUGUGGUAUAGAUCCUCUUUGUUGUAUAUCUAUGUGUUUGUUCAGGGUACGGCGGGGCCCUGUCCCGUCAUAUGAUACUGUUAGUACUCUUAGAGGUCUGUAGACAUAUGUGUGGGUCUGUAUAUAGUUGUUGUUUUGCUAUGUAGACAUGACUUAUAUUUUGGGGCGUACCCAUUCGUAGUGGCAGCUUUGUCGACUUGUGUAUA